rnacentral:rRNA from 1 species
AGGGGAGUGAAACAGUUCCUGAAACCGUGCGCCCACAAACCGUCGGAGCCUCCUUGUGGGGUGACGGCGUGCCUAUCGAAAAAUGAGUCUGCGAGUCAGUGGCGGGUGGCGAGCAUAAGCCGUGUGGCGUAUGCGUAGCGAAAGCGAGUCUUAAAAGGCGUUUUUAGUCGCUUGUCCUGGACCCGAAGCGGGAUGAUCUAGCCCUGGGCAGGUUGAAGCGCGGGUAAGACCGCGUGGAGGACCGAACCCACCUGGGUUGAAAACCGGGGGGAUGACCUGGGGCUAGGGGUGAAAGGCCAAUCAAAUUCCGUGAUAGCUGGUUCUCUCCGAAAUGCAUUUAGGUGCAGCGUCGGUCGAUUGCGUCGCGGGGGUAGAGCUACCGGAUGCUUGCGGGCCCUUGUUGGGUACCAACAGCAGCCGAACUCCGAAUACCGUUGACGUGUAUUCCGGCAGUGAGUCGGCGGGGGAUAAGCUCCGUCGUCGAGAGGGAGACAGCCCAGAUCGUCGUCUAAGGUCCCGAAGCGUGUGCUAAGUGGGAAAGGAUGUGGAGUCGCAUAGACAGCCAGGAGGUUGGCUCAGAAGCAGCCAUCCUUGAAAGAGUGCGUAACAGCUCACUGGUCUAGUGGUUCCGCGCCGACAAUGUAGCGGGGCUCAAGCACACCACCGAAGACGCGGCAGCAAUCUUCAUGGUUGCUGGGUAGGAGAGCGUCCUGCGAGGGGCGAAGCGGCGGUGGAAACCGGCCGUGGACUUCGUGGGAGUGAGAAUGCAGACAUGAGUAGCGAGAGACGGGUGAGGAUCCCGUCCGCUGGAUGACCAAGGGUUCCGGGGCCACGUUCGUCGUCCCCGGGUGAGUCGGGUCCUAAGGCGAGGCCGACAGGCGUAGUCGAAUGGAUGAACGGGUGGAUAUUCCCGUACCGGCGGCGUACCGUAAGAGCCGAACGGAUGAGUACUAACCUCCGGUCGCGUGGCGUCGUUCCCUUCGGGGUUCGGGGUCCGCGGUCGUUGGGAGCGUAGUCCUGGUAGGCUAGCGCACAGGGGUGACACGGAAUGGGAGCCGGCCGCGGAGGUGGUUUUCCGUGGUCAAGCACGCAGCCAGUCAUGUAGGCAAAUCCGCAUGGCGCGCAUGGCGAGGUGUGAUGAUGGGAGCCGUUAUGGCUCGAUAUCCGGUUGUCCAGGCCGUCGAGAAAAGCCUCGGCGUGAGGGCCAUGGCCGCCCGUACCCCAAACCGACACUGGUGGUCAGGUAGAGAAUACCAAGGCGAUCGAGCGAAUCCUGGUCAAGGAACUCGGCAAAUCACUCCCGUGCCUUCGGUAUAAGGGAGACCCACUGGGGUGAAGGACCUUGCGUCCGGAGCUUUGGUGGGUGGCACAGACCAGGGGGUAGCGACUGUUUACCAAAAACACAGGUGCAUGCGAAGGCGAAAGCCGCUGUAUAUGCACUGACGCCUGCCCGGUGCCGGAAGGUUAAGAGGAUCCGUCAGCCUUCGGGUGAAGCGGUGAAUUCAAGCCCCGGUAAACGGCGGUGGUAACUAUAACCAUCCUAAGGUAGCGAAAUUCCUUGUCGGGUAAGUUCCGACCUGCACGAAUGGCGUAACGACUUCCCCACUGUCUCGACCAGGAGCUCGGCGAAAUUGCAGUACGAGUAAAGAUGCUCGUUAAGCGCAGAAGGACGAAAAGACCCCGGGACCUUUACUAUACCUUGGUAUUGGCGUUAGGCGCGGAUUGUGUAGCAUAGGCGGGAGGCUUCGAAGCGGGUGCGCCAGCAUUCGUGGAGCC